AAUGCUCUGAAGUAGAAUUCUGAUAGAACUACAGGACUUGCUACCUGAUGAACAAUAUUUUUACAGGGAAAAUUGUUCAGGGGUCCAGCUAAGGAUGCUUCUCUACCUUCUGGCUCUUCUGAACCUCUGUAGCUUAGGGCAGGGAAUUCCCCCUACAAGAUGAUUGGGAGGAAGGGGCAGAAGCCCCAGAUGCCGGGUUAAGUUGCUCAGAGACUUGUCAAUAAAGCAUUUAAGUGAAUUCAAGAGGCAGCAUCCAGGAGUGAAACCACAACUAAGAUGCCAUCAAAAGAGACCAGGGGGAAAGGUGAAAUGCAAGUGGCAAAUAAAGAGAUGGACAGUGGAGGAAGCUCGGCCAAAUCAAGAGAUUUCCAGCAGGGCCUGAGGGAGCAUGGUAGAGAGAAGGCACCUCUUACAUGAGGGUCUUAAGACUUCAGAGGAAGGUCAGAAAAUCCUCCCUAGGUUUUAUGACCUGCUUCAUGAAAGAAAGGUAGAGUGGUGGGGGAAAGGUGAGAGUGGCCUCCCUGCUUCUGUUUUUUUCUCAAAUUCCUUCAGCUUAAAAUAUGAAAUAUGCCCAGGUGCCA